UACGGAGGAUGCAAGUGUUAUCCGGAAUCACUGGGCGUAAAGCGUCUGUAGGUGGUUUAAUAAGUCAACUGUUAAAUCUUGAGGCUCAACUUCAAAAUCGCAGUCGAAACUAUUAGACUAGAGUAUAGUAGGGGUAAAGGGAAUUUCUAGUGGAGCGGUGAAAUGCGUAGAGAUUGGAAAGAACACCAAUGGCGAAAGCACUCUGCUGG
rnacentral:rRNA from 1 species